GACAGAGGUGCCGAGCGUUAGGCGGAAUCACUGGGCUUAAAGCGUGUGUAGGCGGACCUGUAAGUACCUUGUGAAAUCCCACGGCUCAACCGUGGAACUGCUGGGUAUACUGCGGGUCUUGAGCCACCUAGGGGCGAGCGGAACAAGUGGUGGAGCGGUGAAAUGCGUAGAUAUCACUUGGAACGCCAAUGGUGAAAACAGCUCGCUGGGGUGUGCUGACGCUGAGACACGAAAGCCAGGGGAGCAAACGGG
rnacentral:rRNA from 1 species